AACUGGAUUCCCUAACCCAACAUGCACCAAACCUCCUAGUACAUCAACACAAGCUCCUAGCUUAAGCGCAUUGAUUGGACAAGUUGGUUGAGUAGUAGGUGGAGUAUUACCACCACCACCACCUCCUCCUCCUCCCCCUCCUCCUCCUCCGCCGCCUCCGCCUCCCCCUCCGCCACCACCUCCAUAAGGUGGGCCACCAGUGUAUGGUGGGUAGCCUGAAGAAGGUGGUGGUGUUACUGGGGGUGUUAUAAUCACAGGAGGAUUUGUUACUGGAGGGGAUAUUACAGGGGGAGGAUUAACGAUUAUUGGUGGUAGUACUACUGGUGGCAUUGGUGGGUUGUAGCCUCCAUGGUGAGGUGGGUUGCCUCCAUGAUGGGGUGGGUACUUGGUGCUUGGUGGUUUGGGGUGGGGAACUUUUGGGGGAGUUGGGUGGUGUGUCGGCGGUGGAUGUGGCUGAGUACAAGGAACGCAAGCAUAAAUGGGUGGCAAUGAUAUGCCCAUGAAAACAAUGAAGAUGAAGAACAUGGCUGCAACCUUAGAAGCCAUGACUUCCCUUGGAAGUUGCUAAAUUUUCUUGGGUGUUUUGAUGGUGUUGAACUUAGUAUUAUAUAGCUGAAUUUUAUAAGCCACCCGUGAGCAGUUCUCUAGGAUAUGGAAACUAAAACUGAGACUAUUGUCACCAAUUGUACAGAAACAGGAACAUUGUGAGAAACUCCAAGGGAUCUAAGGUGAAGUUAAACAGAAAAAUUUGGAUUCCCAUUGGCCCUUCGCAAACUCCUAUGUCUAUCCGUGACUGGCUCACAGUUCAAUCCGUGAAUUGUUUAACCAGUCAGUCUGCUGGCAGAUAACUCUUACAUCCCUUUUUUUAAGUGCUAUAUAUUAAGCCCCAUGCUUUUUUCUUUAGGACAACUAUAUAUGUCUAGCCUUAAUGGGUUAUUUUCUCUUAUUUUCUUGUAAGUGGUCUGCCCUUUGAGAAGGAUAUAGCAUGAAAAUGAACUAUAGUUUUGGACUUUUACAGGCAGACACAUAAAUGGGCAUUAUUGUUUUUGGUCCGUUCUCUAAUAUUUCUGUUGGCGGAGGCAUGGGAGGAUUCCUUGUGGUAUGCUGGUAUUUGAUCUGGUAGAAGGGGGGUUUUAGGGCUUGCAUUUUGCAGUGCACAGCAUGCAUUAUAUUUGAGUUCGUUUCACGAAGUAGACAUGUGAACAUGUCUGAAUAUUUUUUGUUUUCUUGCAUUAAACACGUCAGUAUUGAGUAGCUGCUACAGCAUUCCUAUGUGACAUUAUUUGGUAAUUCUUGGAAUGAACUAAGUUUCUGUACACCUUACUAAUUUACAAACGAAUUUAUCAAUUUAUAAAUUUAAAUUUUUUAAUAGAAUGUACNNNNNNNNNNNNNNNNNNNNNNNNNNNNNNNNNNNNNNNNNNNNNNNNNNNNNNNNNNNNNNNNNNNNNNNNNNNNNNNNNNNNNNNNNNNNNNNNNNNNNNNNNNNNNNNNNNNNNNNNNNNNNNNNNNNNNNNNNNNNNNNNNNNNNNNNNNNNNNNNNNNNNNNNNNNNNNNNNNNNNNNNNNNNNNNNNNNNNNNNNNNNNNNNNNNNNNNNNNNNNNNNNNNNNNNNNNNNNNNNNNNNNNNNNNNNNNNNNNNNNNNNNNNNNNNNNNNNNNNNNNNNNNNNNNNNNNNNNNNNNNNNNNNNNNNNNNNNNNNNNNNNNNNNNNNNNNNNNNNNNNNNNNNNNNNNNNNNNNNNNNNNNNNNNNNNNNNNNNNNNNNNNNNNNNNNNNNNNNNNNNNNNNNNNNNNNNNNNNNNNNNNNNNNNNNNNNNNNNNNNNNNNNNNNNNNNNNNNNNNNNNNNNNNNNNNNNNNNNNNNNNNNNNNNNNNNNNNNNNNNNNNNNNNNNNNNNNNNNNNNNNNNNNNNNNNNNNNNNNNNNNNNNNNNNNNNNNNNNNNNNNNNNNNNNNNNNNNNNNNNNNNNNNNNNNNNNNNNNNNNUAGGGUCUGUUAUAAAAUAUAAAACAAGACAUCAAGCUAAUUAAUCAGAUCAUUUGGAACAUAAAAAUAUACAAUCCAUUGAAUAAAAUAAAUUUCAAAUUUAAUUAGAUAAUUAAUUUCAAAUUCAGUAUCCAACUCAUACAACUUUCGAUUUUUCCGUCUAAAAGAAUAGCCAACAAAGAGAUGCCGGCAAUUUCUACUAGCAAAUUUCUUUUUUAUCUCUUUGUAGGUUAUGGGCAUGACAUAAGCGAUCAAAAACUCGAAGGUGAUUGUAAGAAGAAGCUUACCUGAAGAGAAUUUCAUAUGGAGUUUUGCCAUGCAUUAAUUCAAAUGGAGUUCUGUUGAUUAAAUAUCUAGUUGUUAGUACAUAUUCAUCCCAAAAUUCUAUGGACAAGUUUGCUUGAAAACACAAGACCCUUGUCACAUUUAGAAUAUAUCGAUGUUUUCUCUCCACUCGACUAUUUUGUUAGGAUGUUUCGACACAAGAGGUCUAAUGCAAUAUUUCAAAGUUUUCAAAGUAUUGUUUUAAACAUACAAAUUUACUUCCGUUAUCACUUCUAACGACUUUCACAUUUUUGUCAAAUUGACAUUUGAUUACGGCUAUAAAUUUCUUAAGAACACAUGUCAUGUCACUUUUGUAAUUGAGCAAAUAAAUCCAUACAGCACGUAAACAAUCAUCAACUAUGAUUAGAAAAUAAAGUGCUCCACAAAAGGCGAGAAUUGUAUAAGAUCCCCACAAGUCAUAGUGUAUCAAAUCAAAACAUUUUGUUGCUUUAUUAUUACUAGAAAAGGAAAUCUCUCUCGUUUGUUUUGCUCGAAAAUAAAUUUCACAAGUUUUAUUAGUUUGUCUAUCCAAUCUAUUAGUUCCUGCAAUCAAGUCUGUCAUCUUAAAUGACGGAUGUCCCAUUCUUUUAUGCCAAAACUUAAAAGUUCCUCCACUACUCAGUUUGCAAGCAUGAACUGAAGUGAGAAAGUAAAGCCCCUUUCUUUUCUCUCUCACUCUAAUCAGAAUCCUCGAAUUUGGAUCCUGUAUAGCACAUAUUUUUUUAGUAAGUUGAAUAACCAAAUUUGAAUUAUUAAGAAGCUGAGAGACACAAAUCAAAUUGCAUUUCAGCUUUGAAACAAAAAGAACUCAUCGUAAUUUUAAAUUCCUGCCAAGCAACAUGGUUCCUUCUUUGACUACCAUGAUUUUCUCUCUAUUAGGUAAUCCGACGGAGUAUGGUGCAAUGUCAUGUAAAUCACUUAAAAAACCCUUAGUUCUUGUCAUAUGAUGGGAGGCUUCUGUGUCAAUAAUCCAAGGAAAUUUUCUUUGGUUACCUGCUAACCUCUCAUUGGUAUUUUGAUGAGAGUUUAACAUGCCUAGCAGAGCAUGCCAUUUCUCGUCAUUAAACCCGUUCAGCCCCUUUCAAUAUGCAUCCGUCAUUGCUUCUCGUCCAGUAUCAACUGUAGCUGCUUGCACUGCGUGAGCACGGAUAUCACUUCCUUUGUUAUAUCCUCUUCCAGUGCCACGCUUUUGAGUAUUGCCACGCACACUUGAGUUUCUAUGAGGCCGAGCACCCCACCAUUCUGGGUAGCCUAUUAACUGAAAACAACUUUCAAUGUUAUGACCCUUUUGAUUGCAAUGAGAUCAAAUAGAAGUUUUAUUUUUAUCUUCUCUUGAAUUCUGACCAUUGGCCUAAAUUGUGAAGCUUAUGGGGUUAUCCCGUUCAUCUUCGCUUCUCGUCAUAAUUCUCACUCGCUCUUGCUGAACUACCAUAGCAUAAGCAUGAUUCAAAUUAGGCAAAAGAUCAGUGCUCAAGAUAUGGGACCGCACGAUACUGUAACCUUCUUCAUCCAAGCCCAUUAGAAACUGAUGAACUCUUUCUUCUUCACGCUUUCGCUCCAUUUCAACGGCAAGAUUGCAUUUGUAGCAUGCAUAUGCACACACUAGUAUCUAAUUAUAGUUAUUAAUCUCAUCCUACAAGGUUUUGAGUUUACAUAGGACAUAAUGGAUUGACCAUCCUGCCUAUAGUUUGUCAAAUCAGAUCUCAACUGCUGCAUUUAUGGUCCAUUUUCAAUUGAGAAUCUAUGCUUAAUAAUAUCUUCCCAAAGAUAAUUCACCAUUUUGGGGUGAGAGAUAGUUGAUCGAAGUAUUGGAUUAACGGUGUUAAAUACCCAGAAAACUAACAUAGAGUUAACUGUCCACCAAUUUUUGAGUUCGGGUGCAUCGUUCUCUGGUUGUUUGAUGGAUCUAUCGAUAAAGCCGUAUUUCUUUUGGCUCUCAACGUAGUCCACAUGGCCUUGCUCAUUCUUCGUAGUUCUCUCUUUUUAACUGUCUUUGUGUAAUCAAUUUACUUGGGUUGCCAGUAGAAUUUAGUGUAUAAGGAUUGAAAGAAUUUUUCAUUGUUCCUAAAUUCUCCCCGUGUUUCUUUUCAACCUUCAUGGCUCUGAUAUUAUGUAUAAACGGAGAAUCGGACAAUUUGAAAAUGGAAGUUCUUGCUCUUUCAUUGACAGCAAUGUGACAAUAUAUACACCAAGUUUACCCCUAUUUAGGAAAAUCUAAGAAUAUAAAAUUUUCUAUACAGUACAAGCCAAAUUUUCUAUGUUGUACAACUUAAACUUCCUAUACUGCACAAGACAAAAAAAGAAAGAAAAUAUAUUUACACACAAAUCAAGUCUUAAACCGCUAGGUCGACAGAUCGUCAAGACGUCAGACAGGUAGGAACGGGUCGAUAGGUCGUCAAGACGUCAGACAGAUCAGUACAGUUUGAUAGGUCAUUAAGACGUCAGAUAGGUCGAUGUAGGUUAUUAAGAGAUUGGAUACUCAACGUAUGAUCUGACACUGGUUUUUGCCUGCCUGCCUUCCUUCCCUUUGGUCAUCACUCGCUUAACAUACUAUAUAUAGACAGGCCAAUGCUCGAUCAUUCCUUUCGUGGACCUUCACCGACUCCUCCUAUUCCAUCAAUGAAGCCUGUGUCAUGGUUUCCUGACGUUGCCGCAAGCUAUCACGUAAAUCCAGACCUUACAACUUUACCAUUGCCACCAAAUAUAAGGAAAUUAACGGAUCAACUUCAUAUACGUAAUGAGCUAGGUGUUCAGAUUUCACAUAUUGGUGUUGCAUCACUUCAUUCUCUUACUGCUUUUUUUAAAAAAUAAAAAAUAAAAAAAAGAAUAAUGUUCUGCUUUUCCCGCAUAUGAUAAAAAAAUAUAUUCUCUUUGUUUAAAAUUUCACUUACUAUAAUAGCCGUUUCUUUGAAUUCUGGUCUACCUAUUUUCUUGUCAAAGGAUCGUAUUGUCAAAAAUGUACUAUUUUGAAAUAUAAAAAAAAAUAGUGACAAAUGCAUAAAUUUAACUGAAUAGUCCAAUUUAAAUAAUAAAAAUAAUUGUAUUCACAUACUUAAUCUGAUAGUAAGUAUAUUUGAAUAAAUUUGAGAGAUUUCAAAUUUUAUUUUUCAAUCUCCAAUCUCCAAUUCUUAUUUCAAAAAAAAUUAUAAAAAUAAUUAUUUGCUGAUUUUGCUGUUGAUGUUGUUUUAUAAAACUUUUACAUAAUUAUAAAUUUAUUUUAAAAAAUAAUAAUAAAUACAGUUUAGUAUCAUCUAAGAUAAAAGUUUCAUAUAAAAAAGCAUGAAAUUAUUGAAAUAACAUAAUAAUAUAGAUAGACCUUUUAGUACUAAAAUUGAAUUUUUUUUUUACCCAAAUUUAAGUGGCAUAACCCAUUACCCAUGAAACCACAUUUUUAUAUAUUUAUAAUUUAUUUGUUCCUCAAUUUAAAUAGUUUAAUCUAUUGACUAUUAAUAUCAUUUUUUAUUUAAAAUUUAUUUUUUAAAUUUAAAUCUUUUAUGCAUUAACCAAGAAACCCGUAUUAAAACUUUUUUUUUUUUCAUAAUUUCAAGUAGUCUAAUUAUCAUACCCAAAACUCAUUUUUUUAAAAUUUAAAAUUUAUUUUUCUUAAAUUAGAUAAUUUAACCUAUUGUUUCAAUCAAAUUCUUUUAAAUAGAUUUGUAACAAAAUGAGUUUAAUAAUAAAAUUCAAUCACCUCUUCUAUGGGAAAAGAAUAAUGAUACAAUAGAAAACUUAAUUUUUAUGCAUAUUAAAGGACGAGAAAUUUUGAGAUAAAGACAAGAUAAGGUCACCUCUGGAAUUCUUGAUGUUGACAAUGUUCAAAGUAUAGAGACAAAAAUGGAUUAUUAUUAAAAAUUGAAAAAUAGUUAUUUUAUAAAAAUUAUGUAUAAUUUUAAAAAAUUUCUUAAUUAAUACCUUUAAUUAAAAAAAAAAAAAAACCUUUCACCAUACAACUUAAUUAAAAUGUUUGAACAUAUAUUAUUAAAAUAAAGACAAAAUGAAUAGCUUUUUUCUAAAAACAAAUAUAAUUUUAUUACUUUAUGUUAAAUUCAAUUAUCCUUGGAAUUGAAUAUGCCGAUACAAAUGCCAAUUUGGAAGAAAAAUUCUAUCCAUGAAAGAAAAAUUACCAUUAGAAAAUUAUUGCUUAAAUUCUUACGGCAUGAGCCAACAAAAUGGGAAAAAACAAAUCCAAGAAACUGAAACAUACAACAUGAAAUGAUAAACUAGAAAUAAGCAGAGACAGAAUGCAUUUAUGCACACUUGAAUCCUUCAGGAACCUUCUUCCCACAGUAGUUAAGCAACAAGCUCAAGUUCACAGGAAGGUUUAAGUUAAUGCCCAGGACACUGGCUUUGAUUGUAGUGCAAAGGCAAACAGCGGCUUCCAGAUCAACAAGAUUGCCGAUAAGGCUGCAGCAAGGAGUCUUAGGUGGGGUUCCAACUGUAACACUCAACAAAUCUUUCAACAGAGCGACACAAACGCCCAACUUUAAGGUGUCCUUUGGGCAACGACCCGUAAUUGGUGUUGGCGAUGGCUUGAUUGGUUGAGUUGCAUCAUGGCCUUUUGGGUUUGGUGGUGGGCAAUAGGUAGAGCUCGCCAAAGUGAAGAAGAGGAGAUUGAAGGUGAGGAGAAGGGCAGCGGAGGCUGGAGCUCUUGAAGCCAUGUCUCCAAGGAUUCUUGAUAUGAGCUUUUCUUUUUUUAGCUUCAAGAGACUGAUGGACAUGGUGAAGUGCUUUAAGGGCUAUAUAUAGAUGGAGAGACUAUAAUUAAGCACUGAUAUGAUGAAUUUUUUAAAAACAUUGAACAUGACUCGUGUCUGCAUAGUAUUCCUGGCACCAGAUCAUAAUGAAUAAUCAUCUUAAUAAUAUUCUUGAAAUCUACUUUCGGCCACAGUAGAUCGAUCUAUGGAGGCACAACCUGGCAAUGCAGGUUGCAGAGUUUGGAGUUUUCCCUAUUGGUUAGUUGGAAAUUCUCUUCUUCACAUGCCAAUUAUAAACUUGAUUGCACAAGUUCUUUUUCACAUCUUCAGUUUUCAUCUGCUGGUUGACGUUUUCUAGAAUUCUAGCUCUUUUUGGUGCAUGGAAAUAUCGUUUGUUCCUCAAUUUUAAACAGUUUAUCUUGCAGUAUGGCAGCCUUUGCAGAUAGGAACUGGGAAUAACGAAAUCCAAAAUGAACUUUUUUUUUUAUUGAAAUGGACCAAAAUGAACUAUUUACCAUGCUUCUAAACUCGAGAGAUCCGCAUUUGUCUGUAAAUUGAAAAUCAUUGAAUUAUUAUUUAUCCAAUAUACUUAAUUCGACUCAUAUGGUCCGUUUUUUUUUUCUUUGAAAAAAGCUACAUAAUGUAAUAGAUUUUAUAUUUUCUUUUAUGAAAUACAAUCGAUUUUAAAUUAAAAAAAUUAUAAAUACAUCGAAUUUAUAUAAAAAAUGAGUGAUUUUCGCAUUUACUUUUAGUCUAAUGUUAAAAUACUUAAAAUUUUUAUACGCCCACUUUCUAACCAGUAAAAAUCGAUAUAAUUAGAAAAAUCGUCAGAAUUCCACGUGAAUCUAGAUAUAAUGAAUAAUGAAUAUGUAUAGCUUGUUAAAUUUUAAAAUGUUAAAAUAUGAAAUAGAGGAUUGAUGUUGAAUUAUAAUAUAUUUAUAUUAAUAUUCCGAUUAAAAGAUUAUAUAUACCCCAAUCAAAAUACAUCCGUUAAUAUAUAAUUUAUAUAUUAUUUUUUAAAAUUAUAAAAAAUUAUAAUCUAUUUUCACUAGAUUUUAAAAUUGAUUAAACGAAAGAAAGGAUAAUACUAAAAAAUGUAAACAGUUAGAGUAGAUCACAAAAUAAAAUUUAUAAUAUUAAAAAUAUGAGGAGAAUACAAUUUAAUUAGUGAGCGGAUAAAUAAAUAAUAAAAAAAAAUAGAUAAAAUUUUAAUACAUAAUAAUUUAAAUAAAUAUAAUUUAAUUCAAUUAAUAUAAAUUAAACUGAAUAAAAAUUGCUAAGAUAUCUCUGCUGGAAUAAUGAAUCUAAAAUUAUAAAUGUGAUAAAUAAAAUUCGCAUAUACUCGUAACAUGCAAUCUGCUCGCUGAUAAUGUUGGCAUCUAUAAAAUAAAAUAAUAACAAUUUGAGAGCAAUAUAAUCAUCUUAGACUCUAUGAUUCAAUAUUAAUCCGAAAGUAAAUAAAAUAUUGGUUAUACACAUGUUUAGAGUUAUUCAAGAGAUGACGACCUGACCCUAAAGGAUGUGUAUAUAUCAAGUACUGUCCUAAAAAUAGUAUAAAUAUAUGCUAAACACACCCAAAUAAUAUGUGUAUAUCAAGCGUUGUUUCAAAGAAAGAUCAUAUAAAUAUAUGCUAAGUCGAAAAUAAAUUACAUGUCAUUGGGGUGUUAUUUGUUUGGUGCAUAUACAGAUUUAGCGUGUAAUCAAUCACAUGUCAUUGGACUGUUAUCUAUUUAUUAAAUUUUAUUUUCAUUAAUUUAAAAAAUACGAAUUCAUUUUAUCUAUUUUUAUUUUAAAUAAAUAAAAAUAUUUAUCCACUCCAAACAAAAUAAGUUUAAAUAUUCUCACUCCUAUUAUUUAUACAUUUUCUCGUAAAAUUAAAAAUAAUAUAUUAAGAAUAAAUAAAUAUUCAAAACAAAAAUAUAAAAUAUGAAAUACAAAUUCAAAUAUUAAAUAUAUAUAUUUUUUAAAAAAAAUUCAGCCGUAUUCGGUAUAACUAAAUUUCUUACAAUUACAUAGUCUAAAAAAUAUUUAAUAAAUUAUAAAUAUUAUUUAAAUUAACUUAUAAAAAUUAUUAAUUCUACAAAUAGAAUCUCAUUAAUUUAAUAUAACUAAAAUUUAUCUUUUUUAAUUUUUAAAUCACAAAAAUUAUUGUAUAAGGGUCGAGAAAAUAAAUUAAAUAGUAACAAUAUAAAUAUAAGAGAUAAAACUUACCCAUUAGUUUUGCGGAAGAAAUUAUUGAAUUUACUGUUAGAAUAUUAGUUCAAAUAAGAAUAUAAUUGAGAAUUUUAAAAGUUUAUGAAGGUUGAGGGUAAAAAAUUUAAAUUAAAAAUGAAUUGUUUUUUUUUUUAAUAACAGAUAGAGGUUCCGUUUCUUCUUCGUGAAAAAAGAAAAGGGCUUUGAUUUGGAGAAGGUUCUUGAAAUCAGAACUCUUUUUCUUUUCUUUUUGAUGACCGCCAGACUUCCUCUACCCUGAACGAGGUCGGGCUCAAGAGGAGAACAAUGGCCCAAAACCCAUCAAACCCUCCUUAAGCAAGACCGACCCAGUGUCUCAAGCCUCAACCCGGACGUGCGGGGUAGGCCGGGUCCACCAUGAGCCCGGGUCUAAUGAGAAGAAGUCCAACCCAGUGAAGUGAUGUGAGAAAGAAUAGUAUGUCCAAUCACCUUGCAGCCCUGUCCGUAUGCGCGCCGAAGAGAAUUAAAUGGCUGCCUGACAUGGAGAGGAGUCCUGACACAUCCGUAUAUACGGAGCUGAGUGACAGAGAUAGCUAGCAUUGUAGCAGAGAGGCAGAGAUACAUGACGAGCAGACAAAAAGAGGGGGUUCUUCUCUUCUUCCUUCUUCUUCCUGAACUACAUUUUUCUUUAUUUUUCUUUCUGCAAUUCUUGCCUAUCCAUACUACUCUAGUUCAUAAAAUCUGACUUGAACGUCGGAGGGUCUCCACCGGGGCAUCCCCGGUAGACCCCUGACCAUCUUUCUUCAUUUUGCAGAUUUCUUCUUCGAAUCAAGUAUGGAGGGACCCAUAUGAUGGACCAAAAAGAAAACCAAAUCUAUCAAAUGGAGCAGAAGGAAGACCAGAUUCAUCAAUUGGCGCCGUCUGUGGGGACGAAAGAGAUUUUACUAUUUCUAAAGUUCCUAAAGUCACCCAUUGAGAUCCACAUGAAGGUAUGAAAGUUUGUGCGAAAAAGAAGCUGGAGAUUUACAAUAACCCAGCUGAAAGGAAAGAUUCAGCUGGUUCAAGAAUAUUUUGAUAGUCUUUCAGAUAGUUUAUUUUAAUGUUUAUUAAAUUUUAUUACUACUAACUUUUUCUUUGAAACCUAGUGAAGUGAGACUUUAGAUCAAAAUACUUAUCUAUGACUAUAAAAUUUUAAUCUUUUCUAUAAAAAGAAAAAAGAAUGAGUGACGUAUAUAUUUGUUGAAAUUGUGAGGUCGGUUGUACAUAUGUUGUAAAGGUUAAAUGAGCAGGUCGGCUAUAAGUUCCCAAGUUAGCAAGUUAGAGAGAAAAUUAAUAAAUAAAUAAAUAAAGGAUCUGCGAGAAAAAAUAAAGCAGGUUGGGUAGAUUGGACAGCUCUCUGACUAGACAACAAAUAGGUGUCGUACUGCACAACAAAGAAUGAAAAAUAGGUCAGCGGAAGAACUCAGGUGAAAAGUCGGUUGGUUGGAAUAACAAGAUCGGAAAAAGCUUGAGCUGCCAAAGAUGCAUCGACCUGAGGAGGAAAUCACUGAUCUGGUUGAACUCCAACAAGUGAGGUCGGCGCGAUGCUGAAAUGGACCACUUGUCAAUGCAGAUAGUUGGACAUGAUGGAGCCAACACCACAUGUCUGCGAAUGAGGAAACCACAACCUUCAAGAGUUCAAACAGACACCACCACCAGAUGAUCAACUUUCGAGUGAGAAGGCUCCAGUAGAUCACACUCAACAGGUCGGAGAAAGAGCCCAGACAGGUCGAUAAAAAAAAAAAGAAAACGACUUCAGCGAACCAACGAAAGGUCCCCAGUAAACAUCACGAGCCCGACUGGACAUUGAACAACUUGAAUAAAUCAGGAUUAUACUUAAUAGUGGAUGGACUCACGCUUGAGAUUGAACACGAGAAGUCGAAUAGAUGUAUGCCUGAGGUCGGAGUCAUAUUUGAAGUCGGUCUCGCAUUCCUGGUCGAAUGGCCGUACUGUCCUCAAGAUUCAAAUUAAUAAGUCGGCUGGAUUGGGUGAGUUGGGAAAAUGGAUUGGACGGCUGGUCGAAGUAGCAGGACUGAAAAGAGCUCGGCAAAUCCAAUAAUCACCGUGUUGUAAGUGAAAGCACGUCGGCUUAAGAAGGAAUCACUGGUUGAAUUUUACUAAAGUCAACAACUUUGUUAAGAGAUUACACAUUAAAGUCGGACCCGUGCUCAAAAUUAGAUCCGUGCUCGAGAUCGAAGCCCUGUUUGAGGUCGGACUCACAUUUCAGGUCGGAUAGGAUGAUGUUGUAGAGCAGCCAGGGCGCGAUUCAUAGCCAUCCAACUUGGUCGGACAACAGCGCCCCUCAAGUAUCGGUGCGAUAGGGAGACGACAAGAAAUUAUCAAAUACCCAAGCUGAUCGAGGAAGGAUUCAGGUUGUACCUGUUGGCCGACUUGAAGACGAGUGAAAUUGGAGUGCGGCCACCACCUGGGCUCGCUGAAGUUGAGCGAGUCGUGCAGCAUGCUAGCCAACUUGGGAAUUACAUGUCCAAAUCGACAAACAGACGAGCUUGUUAAGGCUGAGAGGACUCUCCUGUGGAGAAAGACCCAAUGGCCAUGCAGGUCUGCAUUUGCUCAGUUAGAAGGAAAGAGGUAAGAAAAGCUUUAUUUACAAAAUAAACUAUUAGUUUGGUUGCCAACACAUCCUUUGAAAUACUGGUGUUGUUAUCUCCUGAAAAUAAAAAUAAUAAUAAUAUAUAUAAUUUUAUUACGUAAAAUAUUCCUCGACUGUUAUAGUGAAAGGAGAAAAUUAAAAACAAUAAUUAAUUAUCUUGUUUACAUUAAUAGGGAGACCAUCAUAAUUUGUCAAGUAAAAUAAUUCUAACUUAUUUACCUCCAAUGCCAUUGACCCAUUAUUAUCAUCAUUGAAAGGGCAACCUAGGCAUUUUGUCAUGAUCACAACAUUGCCAUCAAAUUAUAAAUAAGCAAAAUAGAACUUAAAUUUCAAAAUUGCCUCUUGCUGUGUAUACUUAUUAUUUUACUUUAGAAUUUCAAGACUGUUUUUAGUUACUGACAAUUGUCUUUGAUUAAUUAUUAUUGAAUAUAAAGGAUUUUAUAGAUUAUUAAAAGAUAUGCUUUGCAUGUAAAUAAUAAUGCUAAAUUUAAUUAAAAGUAUACUUCUCUGAGUUUAGAUAUCUUGAUAAUUGCUUACAUAACAUUAAAAUUCAAGUAUUGUCAUGACAAUUUUAUUAUUAAUGUUAGUAUAUACAUUCCUAAGAAAAAGAUAAUAUAUUUUAUGGAUUGAAAAACUUUGGAGAAAUUUACACAUGCAAAAUAUUAUUUAUUGAAUCUCUAAAUUGCAUGAGUUAAUAUUGUUAGUUAGAGAUAAUAUUUACAUUCAUCUGAAAUAUGAAACUAAGUGACAUGUGCGACAUAUUAUUUAUUGAUGAAUAUUAUUGAAUUAACAACGAGCAUUCUCGUUAUAUACGCUGCGUGCAAGCCUUAUUUUGCAGAAAAAAUUCUGAAUCUUGCGCAAGACCUCAGUGAGGUAGGUGACCGGUCUCUGAAAAUAACCCCCGGCACCACAAAACCGGCUGAGAUGACGAAGCGACAGUAAGGCCAAUGAGCCUGAAUCCCAUGCAAGGCUAAAGAGUCUGGAAGCGACAGUAAGGCUUAAGAGCCUGAAUCUUGCGCAAGACCUCAUUGAGGUAGGUGACCGGCCUCGGAAAAUGACCCCCGGCACCACAAAACCGGCUGAGAUGAUGAAGCGACAGUAAGGCCAAUGAGCCUGAAUCCCAUGCAAGGCUAAAGAGCCUGGAAGCGACAGUAAGGCCUAAGAGCCUGAAUCUUGCGCAAGACCUCAGUGAGGUAGGUGAUCGGCCUCGAAAAAUGACCCCUGGCACCACAAAACUGGCUGAGAUGACGAAGCGACAGUAAGGCUAAUGAGCCUAAAUCCCAUGCAAGGCUAAAUAGCGUGGAAGAGACAGUAAGGCCUAAAGGCUUGAAUCUUGAGCAAGCCCUCAGUGAGGUAGGUGACUGGCCUCGGAAAAUCAACGCCAGCACCACAAAACCGAGCUGAGAGGAUGAAGGGAACUAUUCUUUUACCUUUUAUUAAAAAAAUAUCAUAUGCUCACAGCAAACAGCGGUAUACGAUGACAACAAGCAAAAAUAACUCAUAAGAACACAGUUCCGACCUCACAUAAAAGAUUGGGGCACUGAACCAGAAUGAAAAGUUAAACUCCGACCUCCCAAAGGAGCUCGAGUCAUAAGGUAAAGAGACUUUGAUCUCACACAAUAGCCAAAGGCACCAAAAUGCCAUGCCGAUCUCAAGAAAAUGAGCUCGAUACUGGUAAAUCCAAUAGACAAACCAAAUUAAGGCGAGGCGAAUCCUAAGUAAAACACAUACCAAGAUAGAGAACCAAACAAAGAACCAUGGGCAAUCAUAAGAGGUACUGACCUCGAGAAUUGACCACUGGCACUAAACCAGCUUAGCUAGCCUAAAGAGAGGUCUAAGAAGCAAAGAGCCCGAAGAACGCUCGAGGGUAGACAGCCCAGAAAAUACUCGGGGGCAAAAAACCAACUAACUGAGACAUAUCCAAGAACUAAAUGAUAAGAUAAAGAAUCAAGAAGACAGGAGCAAUGUAAAAGGCCGAAUAAACCAUUCUAAAUGACCGGAUGGGACAGCAGAAAGCCCUAACUCAUUAGGAUACAAAAGAAUCGAACCGCAGUAUGGUCAAGUCCAAAACAGAUAGUUCGACCUCUUCAAUCCAGGGCCGAUCUCCCCAGAAGCUUGGAAGGGCCUUAUGUCUGUACCGACAAGGCUAUAAGCCUAUAAAAGAAAAGUUAAAGCCAAACAAACAAGCAGUCAGACUGAAACACAGCUCGUAUAAGGCUCGACAAGAAAGCAAGAAAUUAAGUCUGACUUCACAAAAGAGCUCGGGGCACCAAAGUGAAGAAAGCAAAAUUCCGAACUCCUGAGCUCGUAGCACAGGCAGCAUCAUAGGCUAUAGGCAUAAAAGCCUAAGCAAAGAACAAAAAUCCGAGCUCCUUAAUCCGCAAUACGGACGGACUCACGACAAGUAAACAACCAAGCUAAAUAAAGCUAAGUAUAGAAGAUAUACCAAAGAGCCGAGCUCCCUAUAUGAAAAGGCCUGCAAAUGUAGAAACACACAAAAGGAUAAACGAAAGCGAGGGGCCGUGCUCACAGCUCGGAUUAACUCACAGUAAACAAACACUUAGUAAAGAUGACCUAGGAAGAGGAAAACAACAAAAGGCCAAGCUCCCUAUCCCGGUGGAGCACACAGCUCAGACCGCACUGACUGCUAGAAGGUUACAUCUAGAGGGACAAGAUGUCCGAGCUCGUAACAAGAACAAUAUUUAAAAUCGUCUAAUGCGGGGCAUUUAUGCAAAUAAGACAUUUCUUUAGGUAUUAUAUAUCCGAGCUCGCAGCAUUGACGAUGUUACAUUCUCUGGGCCCACAACAGUAGAUAUUGUCCGUUUUGGGUUUGAGGGCCUUGGCCCAGCCUUCCCCUCACGGUUUUGUUUCUGAGGGUUCACGCAAGCGUCCUUCCCCUCAAAACGCGUCUACUGUGGUCUCUUGGGGCUUGCCCUUAUAAGGCGUCCCCCCUCCUUACCUCUUUCCGAUGUGGGAUACUUUCAAUCCACAGACGAGGUCAUAAGCUAAAAAUAGAAAUGCCCUCAUGAAAAUAAGAAAAAUUCGCAAGUCAGAAGCUUAGCUAGACGCCGAGCUCUUAGCCCGGGUCAGUUCGACUAGCAAAGUCCCAGUAGAGAUAGCCUGGUCCAUCAAUUAAGUAAAAUUGACAAAGGCAGAAGACAGUCUGAGUAAAAAAAAAUAAUAAUAAUAAUAAUGAGGUACAGGCCGAAGUGAAAUAUCAUUCAUCAUCAAAUACAUAUCUCCAAAUCGCCAUACAUUCAAACAUCAAAGUAAAUAAAUAAAGAAAUAAAAGGGCAAGGAAAGGACGCUUUUGACAAGAGCAGUUCUCGGUCCACGUGGUCAUAAAUGGAGUCUAGAGAUUUACCCCCUCGUCAUUCAUGUAAUAACUGCCGAUGAGGUAAAGGGGCAAUUGAUGACCGCCGGGCUUCCUCUACCCUGGGCGAGGUCAGGCCCAAGAGGAGAACAAUGGCCCAAAAUCCAUCAAGCCCUUCUUAAGCAAGACCGACCCAACGUUUCAAGCCUCGACCCGGACGCGCGGAGUAGGCCGGGUCCACCAUGAGCCCGGGUCCAAUGAGAAGAAGUCCAACCCAGUGAAGUGAUGUGAGAAAGAAUAGUAUGCCCAAUCACCUCGCAGCCUUGUCUGCAUGCACGCCGGAGAGAAUUAAAUGGCCGUCUGGCAUGGAAAGGAGUCCUGACACAUCCGUACGUACGGAGCUGAGUGACAGAGAUAGCUAGUAUUGUAGCAGAGAGGCAGAGAUACAUGACAAGCAGACAAAAAGAUGGGGUUCUUCUCUUCUUCUCUUCUUCCUUCUUCUUCCUGAACUCCAUUUUUCUUUAUUUUUCUCUCUGCAAUUCUUGCCUAUCCAUACUACACUAGUUCAUAAAAUUUGACUUGAACGUCAGAGAGUCUCCACC
rnacentral:lncRNA from 1 species